rnacentral:rRNA from 1 species
AGUCGAGCGGUAGCACAGGGGAGCUUGCUCCCUGGGUGACGAGCGGCGGACGGGUGAGUAAUGUCUGGGAACUGCCUGAUGGAGGGGGAUAACUACUGGAAACGGUAGCUAAUACCGCAUAAUGUCGCAAGACCAAAGAGGGGGACCUUCGGGCCUCUUGCCAUCAGAUGUGCCCAGAUGGGAUUAGCUAGUAGGUGGGGUAAUGGCUCACCUAGGCGACGAUCCCUAGCUGGUCUGAGAGGAUGACCAGCCACACUGGAACUGAGACACGGUCCAGACUCCUACGGGAGGCAGCAGUGGGGAAUAUUGCACAAUGGGCGCAAGCCUGAUGCAGCCAUGCCGCGUGUGUGAAGAAGGCCUUCGGGUUGUAAAGCACUUUCAGCGAGGAGGAAGGUGGUGAGCUUAAUACGUUCAUCAAUUGACGUUACUCGCAGAAGAAGCACCGGCUAACUCCGUGCCAGCAGCCGCGGUAAUACGGAGGGUGCAAGCGUUAAUCGGAAUUACUGGGCGUAAAGCGCACGCAGGCGGUUUGUUAAGUCAGAUGUGAAAUCCCCGGGCUCAACCUGGGAACUGCAUUUGAAACUGGCAAGCUAGAGUCUCGUAGAGGGGGGGUAGAAUUCCAGGUGUAGCGGUGAAAUGCGUAGAGAUCUGGAGGAAUACCGGUGGCGAAGGCGGCCCCCUGGACGAAGACCGACGCUCAGUGCGAAAGCGUGGGGAGCAAACAGGAUUAGAUACCCCUGGUAGUCCACGCUGUAAACGAUGUCGAUUUGGGAGGUUGUGCCCUUGAGG